CAAGUCGAACGAGUCUCGUUGAUGAUCGGUGCUUGCACCGAGAUUCAACAUGGAACGAGUGGCGGACGGGUGAGUAACACGUGGGUAACCUGCCCUUAAGUGGGGGAUAACAUUUGGAAACAGAUGCUAAUACCGCAUAGAUCCAAGAACCGCAUGGUUCUUGGCUGAAAGAUGGCGUAAGCUAUCGCUUUUGGAUGGACCCGCGGCGUAUUAGCUAGUUGGUGAGGUAAUGGCUCACCAAGGCGAUGAUACGUAGCCGAACUGAGAGGUUGAUCGGCCACAUUGGGACUGAGACACGGCCCAAACUCCUACGGGAGGCAGCAGUAGGGAAUCUUCCACAAUGGACGCAAGUCUGAUGGAGCAACGCCGCGUGAGUGAAGAAGGCUUUCGGGUCGUAAAACUCUGUUGUUGGAGAAGAAUGGUCGGCAGAGUAACUGUUGUCGGCGUGACGGUAUCCAACCAGAAAGCCACGGCUAACUACGUGCCAGCAGCCGCGGUAAUACGUAGGUGGCAAGCGUUAUCCGGAUUUAUUGGGCGUAAAGCGAGCGCAGGCGGUUUUUUAAGUCUGAUGUGAAAGCCCUCGGCUUAACCGAGGAAGCGCAUCGGAAACUGGGAAACUUGAGUGCAGAAGAGGACAGUGGAACUCCAUGUGUAGCGGUGAAAUGCGUAGAUAUGUGGAAGAACACCAGUGGCGAAGGCGGCUGUCUGGUC
rnacentral:rRNA from 1 species